CAGUACAGGCCUUAAUACGGUGAAACCGCGAAUGGCUCAUUAAAUCAGCUAUGGUUUAUUGGAUCAUACCCGUUAAAUGGAUAACUGUAAUAACUCUAGAGCUAAUACAUGCCUCGAAGCCCUGACCCAGUUUCGGCUGGGAAUGGGUGCACUUAUUAGAUCAGAAGCCAACUAGUCGGGCUAACCCUCGGCUAAAGCACUUCUGGUGACUCUGGAUAAUUGUUACAGAUCGCAGUCGGCCUUUGAGUCGGCGACGGGUCCUUCAAAUGUCUGCCCUAUCAACUUUCGAUGGUAGGUGACCUGCCUACCAUGGUGAUAACGGGUAACGGGGAAUCAGGGUUCGAUUCCGGAGAGGGAGCCUGAGAAACGGCUACCACUUCCAAGGGAGGCAGCAGGCGCGCAAAUUACCCACUCCCAGCACGGGGAGGUGGU
rnacentral:rRNA from 1 species